rnacentral:rRNA from 1 species
CUACGGGGCGCAGCAGUGAGGAAUAUUGCACAAUGGGGGGAACCCUGAUGCAGCAACGCCGCGUGGAGGAUGACGCAUUUCGGUGUGUAAACUCCUUUUAUAUGUCAAGAAAAUGACGGUAGCAUAUGAAUAAGCACCGGCUAACUCCGUGCCAGCGGCCGCGGUAAUACGGAGGGUGCAAGCGUUACUCGGAAUCACUGGGCGUAAAGGACGCGUAGGCGGGUUGGAAAGUCAGGUGUGAAAUCCUACAGCUUAACUGUAGAACUGCACUUGAAACUUCUAAUCUAGAGUAUGGGAGGGGGAGGUGGAAUUAGUGGUGUAGGGGUAAAAUCCGUAGAUAUCACUAGGAAUACCUAAAGCGAAGGCGAUCUCCUGGAACAUUACUGACGCUAAGGCGUGAAAGCGUGGGGAGCAAACAGGAUUAGAUACCCCCGUAGUC